rnacentral:rRNA from 1 species
UACGUAGGGGGCGAGCGUUGUCCGGAUUUAUUGGGCGUAAAGAGCGUGUAGGCGGUUCGGUAAGUCUGUCGUGAAAUCCUGAGGCUCAACCUCGGGCGUGCGAUGGAUACUGCCGGGCUAGAGGGUGGUAGAGGCGAGUGGAAUUCCCGGUGUAGCGGUGAAAUGCGCAGAUAUCGGGAGGAACACCAGUAGCGAAGGCGGCUUUCUGGGACGGUACUGACGCUGAGGAGCGAAAGCGUGGGGAGCGAACAGG